rnacentral:rRNA from 1 species
CGCGGUUGUACGGAUUUAGUGGGCGUUAUCCGGAUUUAUUGGGUUUAAAGGGUGCGAAGGCGGAUUUGUAAGUUAAAGUUGAAAUCCUGCUUCUUAACUGCAUAUCUGCCUUUGAUACUGAAAAUCUUGAAUUCCGAUGAGAGAGGCGGAAUGCGUAGUGUUUCGGAGAAAUACCAAUAUAUAAGGCAGAACACCAAUCGCGAACGCACCCUAAUGCACUGAAACUGACGCUGAAGCCCGAAAUCGAGACCAUGGAACACGAUUACAUACCCUGGUAGUCCACGCUGUAAACGAUGAAAACUCCAUGUUGGGCCUACACACUCAGUGUCUAAUCCAACGCAUUAAGUAUU